GCCUGGCUGGCUGAGUUGGUAGAGCAUGAAACUUUUGAUCUCAAGGUUGUGAGUUCAAGCCCCACACUGAGUG
rnacentral:tRNA from 1 species